CGGGCAGGUGGAGGUCGUUAGCCGUGGUAGGCAAUUCGCCUAGGAGAGGGACAACUCCGAACAACAAACCCGGGCAGGUGGAGGUCGUCAGCCGUGGUAGGCAAUCUGCCUAGGAGAGGGACAACUCCGAACAACAAACACGGGCAGGUGGAGGUCGUCAGCCGUGAUAGGCAAUUCGCCUAGGAGAGGGACAACUCCGAACAACAAACCCGGGCAGGUGGAGGUCGUUAGCGUGAGCAGUUCACCUAGGAGAGCAAACUCCGAUUACAAACCCGGGCAGGUGGAGCUCGUUAGCGUGAGCAGUUCACCUAGGAGAGCAAACUCCGAUUACAAACCCGGGCAGGUGGAGCUCGUUAGCGUGAGCAGUUCACCUAGGAGAGCAAACUCCGAUUACAAACCCGGGCAGGUGGAGCUCGUUAGCGUGAGCAGUUCACCUAGGAGAGCAAACUCCGAUCACAAACCCGGGCAGGUGGAGCUCGUUAGCGUGAGCAGUUCACCUAGGAGAGCAAACUCCGAUCACAAACCCGGGCAGGUGGAGGUCGUUAGCCGCGAGGCAGUUCACCUAGGAGAAGGAUAACUCUGACCACAAACCCGGGCAGGAGGGGGUCGUUAGCCGUGGUAGGCAGUCCUCCUAGGAGAAGGAAAACUCCGAAUUCAAACCAACACACACACACACACACACCAGCCGGGCAGGUGGGGCUCGUUAUAGGCGUCGUAGACAAUCCACCAAGGGGAAUCAACAAUAAAAGGAUAAUAAAAGCGAACACACGAGAAGAAUAUGAAAUCAGAACCGGACAAAAAAGGAUAAUAUGAGAUGGAACACCGAAUAAAGGAUAGUUAAGAACACAACAUCGAGAAAGAAUAAGACACACGUGGAUCAUCCAGACUGAAACAGAAGACCAAAAAAUGGAUGGUAUAAAAAGAACGGAAAAAAGAUAACGUAAUAACAACGCACAGAAAAUAACGUAGAACACCAAGAAAAGGAAAAUAAGGAAAAUAUAGAAACAACAUCAUUGAUACCGCCGCUCCGUGGGCGGUAGGAGAAUGAAAUGACCCUUUUCGUAGACGCACAGUAUAAUGUGGUCCAAGCUGUCAAAAUAACAUUUACCGCCAGGACCACAAUCACGACGCUCGAAAACGCCCGCGUCUCUGAGCACUAAGCCGGGCAGCUGAACACUUCACUUAGCAUCUAACGUUCAGCAUUGUAUUUCACUUACUAU